rnacentral:rRNA from 1 species
UGCAAUGACUUCGGCAAGGAUCACGACGACGGUGGUGGCGGUGUGCGAUCCGUACGCAAUCGAGGCGCUCUGAAACCA